rnacentral:lncRNA from 1 species
AAUUGAAUUAAAAUGUCUUCAAUAUUGCAGCAUAACUUCUAUAGCAAAUUAUGUUCACUGUUCACUUGAUAAGGUAUUUUGAAAACCAGAAGAAUUGGUAACUCCAUGGAGUUCUUAAAACAGAAACAGUUAUUUGAUCAAUUUUAAAAUAAGGUGUUCGAUGGACUUUGAAAGAAAAGAAAAUAAAAAUCUAAGGUAAGCACCGGUUUUACCCUCAUUUCUUGGGCUUCAGAAAAGCCUAAUUAGGCAGGGAAAGGAAUUUGGGCCUGGCACACCCAGGUUCAGACGUGGCAGGUUCCUGAAACAAAGUUUUUUUGAACCUUUGAGUCAUAUGCCACAGGCAGACCAAACCCG